UCUAUAGUCUGGGCCUUAUACUGUCAACGGCCUACUCGGGAAACCUUUUUAAAUAACUCAUAUGCAGAGGGUUGCCUAGGAACUCCCGAUGAUCCUCAAAGUCCUUGAGGAAAGUAUUCUCCCACCAUGUAGUAGCAAAUUUCUGGCAAUUCUCUGCUCUGUAUUGUAUCUGCAUAACGUAACGCACAGAAGGAAGCGUUUCCGACCC
rnacentral:lncRNA from 1 species